GUAACGAGCGCAACCCUUGUCCUUAGUUACCAGCACGUUAUGUGGGCACUCUAAGGAGACUGCCGGUGACAAACCGAGGAAGGUGGGGAUGACGUCAAGUCAUCAUGGCCCUUACGGCCUGGGCUACACACGUGCUACAAUGGUCGGUACAAAGGGUUGCCAAGCCGCGAGGUGGAGCUAAUCCCAUAAAACCGAUCGUAGUCCGGAUCGCAGUCUGCAACUCGACUGCGUGAAGUCGGAAUCGCUAGUAAUCGUGAAUCAGAAUGUCACGGUGAAUACGUUCCCGGGCCUU
rnacentral:rRNA from 1 species